rnacentral:rRNA from 1 species
ACGCGAAGAACCUUACCAGGGCUUGACAUCCAACUAACGAAGCAGAGAUGCAUUAGGUGCCCUUCGGGGAAAGUUGAGACAGGUGGUGCAUGGUUGUCGUCAGCUCGUGUCGUGAGAUGUUGGGUUAAGUCCCGCAACGAGCGCAACCCCUAUUGUUAGUUGCUACGCAAGAGCACUCUAGCGAGACUGCCGUUGACAAAACGGAGGAAGGUGGGGACGACGUCAAAUCAUCAUGCCCCUUAUGUCCUGGGCUACACACGUAAUACAAUGGCGUUCAACAAAGGGAAGCAAAGCCGCGAGGCAGAGCAAAUCCCCAAAAGGCGUCUCAGUUCGGAUUGCAGGCUGCAACUCGCCUGUAUGAAGUCGGAAUUGCUAGUAAUCGCGGAUCAGCAUGCCGCGGUGAAUACGUUCCGGGGUCUUGUACACACCG